rnacentral:lncRNA from 1 species
AGACACAGGUAUUCAGGAUGAUCAAUAGGAGAUUCGUUGAUACAUCCAGGAGUUCCAGUUAGCUAUGACAAGCCUCCUUGCUUCCGGAGGAUUUCAUUUACCUUUCAGUUGUAUCAGUUGUUAGGAGGUCGUGGGUCCUGUCCCGGCUUCCAUCUUUAUCAGUUAGAGGCUUCAUAGAUAGACAGUAGAGUUUCAGAAGUCUUUUCAUUUAUUUUGUUAAAUGUUUUAAAGACUAAAGUUGCCUUCUAUGGCGAGUUGUAUAUAUAUUCUAUUAUACAGA